UCCACAGUCCCAGCUCCGCAUAGCAAUGUUCGAUGUGCUCGUGCGGCGUUUGUGACUGUAAGAUGAAAUCCCAGCCAGUAUUAUAUCGUGUUGUUGGUGCUCUUCGUGCAUCAACGAUGAAAGAGUAUUUGGCACACUA
rnacentral:snoRNA from 1 species